AGAGAGAGAGAGAGAGAGAGAGAGAGAGAGAGAGAGGGGAGAGAGGGAGAGGUAGGCGAGGCUCCAGCCACUCUCCCUCGCCAGUCUAGCCCGGGCUUUGCGAUCGGCUACAUGUACCCGCUCCACCUCUUCUCCACCACCACCACCACCACCACCAGGCGCUACCACCACCACCACCACAACCACCACCACUACUACCACCGCCGCCAACGCCACCUCCACCACUCCUCUCCGUCUCUCCACACGCCUCCCUCUCUCCCUUCCUUCUCCUCUUCCUUUUCCUCUUCCUCUUCCUUCUUGUCCUCCUCCUCCUCCUCCUUGUCCUCUUCCUUGUCCUCUUCCUCCUGCUUGUCCUUGUCCUCGUCGUCUCUUUUGUAACAUGGUAACGUGUCUGAGGAAAAUUGAGUUUUGAAAAGAGGGGAAAAGGGGAGAAGUGUUUAACAUUCGAUUGUUUUUCCCCUCCCUCAUCCGUACAGUGGAAAAAAAGUAGACAGACCGUUUGUUUUUCCUCCCACUCCUGACUCAUCAACUGUCCCUCCACGCUGCUUUUGUUUUUGUUGUUGUUUGUUUUGAUGUGAGAGCGUGAGGGCGUCUGCGUGUUUUUAUUAUUGUUAUUGUUAUUGUUGCUGUUGUUGUCGUUGUUUGGCGGAUUAAUUUUUUGUUUUUAUUUUUUUUGUCUAGUUUUUUUUUACUGCCUGCCUUCUCAUCCGUCAUAUUUUUCCCCUCAGAUGGAGUGCAAAGGCUAGAAACGUGUAAACCAAACCAAAACAAACCAAAACUGUAAAAAAAAAAAAAAAAGACAACUGCAUUUUUGUAAUUGGCACAAACAAACGAGAGGGAAACAAGUGACCAAAAAAAAAAUAAUAAAAAACAAAACGAAGAAACGAGAUCAGACAAAAUAAAACAAGAAGAAAGCAUAAAAGAGAAAUCCGACUAUUUUUUAUAUCAAUAUCUGUAAUUAUUCUCAAACUGGCGAGUGAAUUUUUUUUAGAUUAAUGGGAGGACUUUUUGAGUGAAAAUUUUGCCUUUUUUCAAUAAGCCGUGACACCCAAAUUUUAACGUAUCCUCCUUCCUUCCCGUUCCUCCUCCUCCUUCUCCUCCUCCUCCUUUUCCUGUCUCCCCUCCUCUUCCUUCUCUCCCAGUAUAUGUGACACUAAGUUAACCAUCGCCUCCCUCUAUCUGUCUGUCUAUUUCUGUCUGUCUGUCUGUCUGUUUUCCCUCUUAUUCUCCUCCUUCCCUUUCUCCUCCACCUCCUCCUCAUCUUCUCGAAAGUGAAAAACUCGUGGAGAUAUUUCCUAGCGCGUGAUCCGAAAGUGAGAGAGAGAGAGAGAGAGAGAGAGAGAGAGAGAGAGAGAGAGAGAGAGAGAGAGAGAGAGAGAGAGAGAGAGAGAGAGACUUCCCUGGAUCAAGAGGAGACUGUGAGAUAGAAAGAAAACAGCGGGAGAGAGAGAGAGAGAAAGAGGAAAAGAGACCAUCGCCAUCUUCACUUCAAGACAUUUUCUCUCCGUCUCUCCAAGGAAGGGAGGGAGAGAGGAAAAAGAGAGAGAGGAAGAGAGAGAGCGAGAAAGAGAGUGAGAGCGAGUGAGAGAGAGAGAGAGAGAGAGAGAGAGAGAGAGAGAGAGAGAGAGAGAGAGAGAGAGAGAGAGAGAGAGAGAGAGGGAGACCGAGGCACACACGAGGAGGGAAAGAAAAAGGAAACGAGUGAGAGGCAUACUAGUCGUGUUCUCCUCCUCCUCCUCCUCCUCUACUCCUCCUCCUCCUCCUCCACCUCCUCCUCCACCUCCUCCACCUCCUCCUCCUCCUCCCGGGAACACCUGAGGAUUCUCUCUGCACUUCGGCGUCUCAGCAUCCCAGCAUCAUGACAAGUACUCCUCCGCUUAGCAAACUUCGUCUCUCUUCCUUCCUCUCCCAAAGCUUGUCAAGUUACUCGUCCUUCAUGCAGUCAAGCAGCGAGGCGGCCGCCCAAACAGUAGAGAUAUGCAAAGGUUUUCAGAACUGCAGAGUUCCGUGUUGGCAGUGG